rnacentral:rRNA from 1 species
UACGGGGGGGAGCAAGCGUUGUUCGGAUUUACUGGGCGUAAAGGGCGCGUAGGCGGUCGUGACAAGUCACUUGUGAAAUCUCCGGGCUUAACUCGGAACGGUCAAGUGAUACUGUCGGACUAGAGUACAGAAGGGGCAACUGGAAUUCUCGGUGUAGCGGUGAAAUGCGUAGAUAUCUGGAGGAACACCGGUGGCGAAGGCGGCGUCCUGGACCAACACUGACACUGAUGAGCGAAAGCCAGGGGAGCAAACGGG